rnacentral:tRNA from 1 species
UCCCUGAUGGGCUAGUGGUAAAGACUGCACUUCCAAUGCAGGGGGUGCAGGUUCCAUCCCUGGUCAGGGGA